rnacentral:lncRNA from 1 species
AACAAACCGAACAAACCGAACAAACCGGCCAAACCAAUCGAACAAAGUAUAGUAAUAGUACCAAUUUAAAAAAGUUAAAAAUAGAUAUAAAAAAAAAGGAACGACUUUUAAUAGGAGAAGAAAACGUAUUGAAAGAAGGAUAUAUCGUACAAACACAUCAGAAACAACCUGUAUAUAAUAUUUAUUUCAAAGUAACAAACAUAUAUGCAUAUAUCCAAUGUAAUAAGAAAACACAUAUUCUUAUUUUUCCUUUUUGUUUUUUUUUUACACUCUCAAAAUCAAUGUCGUAUAAAGUAAACCUAAAUGUAAUUUCAUUAAUUGUAGAAUUGGAUAUGUAUGUUUUAAAAAUUUUAAAAAAUAUAUUUUUUUUUCAUAAAAAAAGUAAAAUAAAACAAAUAAAAGAGGAAUAUAAUUAUGUGAAGAAUGGAGAACUAUUGGAAGAUAUUGUGCCUUAUGGAAAAUAUAUUUAUCCGAAUAUUAAAAAUGGUUUGAUGGAAGACAAUAUGUGCAAAAAUGAUCUUAUUAAUAAUUUUUUUUUUAUGAACAAGUCAUACAAAAUGCUUAAACAAUUUAUAUGUGAAAAUGCAAAUAGUAUCAACUUAAAAAGGGAUUUAUAUAAAUGUUUUAAAUACUUAAAUAUAUAUUUUUACAACAGUGAUGAAAUAAAUAAUAAUGACGAAUCUUAUAUAAGUUCAUCUUCAAAAUUCAGUUUGAAAUCUUUUUUUAAUUUGUUAAAAGAUGUGGAAAUUACAUUUAAUUGUACUUAUGUCCUUUUUUUUUUUUUUCUUCAACUCUGAUGGUGGGAACUGUUUGAAUGAUAGAUGCAAGAAUAAAUGUAAGCGGAAAAAAAAAAAAAAUAAUAAAAAAAAAAAAAUUACGAAUACUUUAUGUUAUUUAGAUUUUAAUCAAUAUAAAACAAAAUUUAACGAAGCUAGCCAUAUUCGUAAAAAAAAAGAUCCAAACAAAUCUAUAAACAUAUUUUACCUUAAGUUAAAAUAUGAAAAUAUCAGAUAUAAAACGAUCAUAAAAAAAAGUAAAAACGGGGGAUGUCGUAAAAAAGGGGGAGGUAAAAAAAAUAGAAAAAUCCAAAGUAACAAAUUAUGUUAUAAGUUUUAUAAUACAUUAUAUAUAAACAAUUUUUUGUUAUUUUACCAUUCGAAGUUUGUACCACUAUUUUUCUCCAAUACUACUGUGAAUGGAUUGAACGUGUAUUAUACUUUAGAAAAUACCGUCGUGAGUGAAAAAUGUAUACUAAAAUUAAAGACGUACAACAGUACGAACAACAGUACGAACAACAGUACCAACAACAGCAGUACCAGUUACAGUGAUAACGAUGCAACUUGUAGAGAGAAUGCAAAAAAACAAUGCCUAUAUGAAUCGCCAUAUUCUAUUGUUUUAAGGUUUACCAGUAAAAUAAUUUUUAAUAAUAAUAAAAAAAAAAUAAACUACCAUUUAAAACUUAUUCAAGGUUUAGAUUUUACUUUUGAGAAGUUAAACAUAUAUAUAUAUGACGUUUUUUUUAAUAUUUUAAAACAUUUUUAUUUUUGUUAUUUUUUGAAAAAGGAAAAGGAGAGUUCUGUGUGUAGGGGAGUUAUUGACAAUACAGAAAAUGGCAUAAGAGUGGAAAAUGGCAUAGGAGUGGAAAAUGGCAUAGGAGUGGAAAAUGGCAUAGAAGUGGAAAACCAUACGUGGGACAUCCUCGUAUUAAAAUCAAAGUUUCUAAAAUUAUAUCAGUUAAACAAUACAUUCAGUAAUAACUUAAAAAAACGAUUACUCAAAAUAUUGCUUUAUUUUGUUAUAAAAAAAAUAAACAUAAUUUUUUUGUUUGAGAAUGCACAAAAUAGUUUAGUAGAGUCACAAAGUAAGAAGGGUAAUCAUGAUCAUAGUUCUGAAUAUAUUAAAUAUACAGAAUUGAAAUUUAAAAUAAAAUUUUUUCUCAUAAAUUUAAAAACAAAUUUUGUACAUGUUAAAAUGAAGAAAUAUUUACAUGUUGGUAUGGAAGAAGCAAAACAAAAACAAGAGAUAUGUACAUAUAAUCCAUUGUUGAAAAAAAAAAAAAAAAGUAGUAAUAGUGGUAGUAAUAAUGGUAGUAAUAGUGGUAGUAAUAAUGGUAGUAAUAGUUGUAGUAAUAAUGGUAGUAGUACUGGUAGUAAUAGUGGUAGUAAUACUAGUAGUGGUAACUAUCAGAGUAUACAGACGAACAAACAAAUGUAUAUAAAACACUAUUUAUACAUAAGUAAGUUCUCUUUUAAUGUAUUUAUGUUUGAAUUUAUGAUUGUUAAGGAGGAUUCAGAUGGAAUACGAACAGAAGUAAGACAAAUAAACCGAACGGAAGUAGGAAAAAUAAACCGAACGGAAGUAGGACAAAUAAACCCUGAACCUAUGUUGAAUAUGUUACCACAAAGUAAUACAUACUCAUCAAUCACAUUUAAUAAUAAUGUUAAUAAUCGAAUGAGAAAUAAUGAUAAAAUGAAUCAUUCGAAUGUUAAGAAUGUUCAUGAAGAUGUAGACAUAUAUAAUGAUGUUCGUUUUAAUUCAGGUAAUAAUAAUUUCGAAUCGAGUGUAAAUUUUUCUUCCACAAACAGAAGUACAACAAUGUAUUAUACUACAUCUUCAACAGAUUCUAUUAAAACUAUGUAUACAACAACAACAACAAAACCAGUAUAUAUCAACAAAACUAUACUUUUAAAAAUAGAAAAGAUGUAUUUAAAAAUAUCUGAUUUGUAUAAUAUCGUUUUAUUACUUACUUGUAAUAAAUUAAAAAUAUAUACCUAUACAAAUGUUAUAAAUAAAUUAAACUAUUAUUUCCAAUUAUUACUAAAAAGGGGUGAUACAUUAUGUUCGAGCAGUUGUAUUUUUACAAAUAAAAUAAAAAAGAAAUGUAGUAAGAAAUGUGGAAAAAAAUGUAGUCAAAAAUGUGGAAAAAAAUGUAGUCAGAAAUGUGGAAAGAAGUGCAAGUCGAAAACAUGUGAUAUAAAAAAGAUAAUAACAUACGAUUAUAAUACAAAGAGUUCAAAUAAAAUAAAAAAAGAGAGUAAUUUUUUAUUCAGUUUGUACAAACUAUUUUUAAUAAAAAAAGUUCUAUUCCGUUUUAAUCAUGUUAGUUUAGAAUUUAUACAAUACAUUGAUACUAGUAACAGUUUUGUCUUAACAAAAAAAGAUGACAAUCGUAACAGUAGUGGAAAGCUCAAUACAAAAAAAAAACGUAAAAGUGAAAAUCCCAACAGAAAUUAUAAAACAUUAAGUAUAAAAAUGAAAAAAAUUAACACAACAAUAAUUAAAAAAAUGAGCAAAAUUUUGACAAAAAAAAAAACAUUGUUUACCUAUUUUGUACACAAUCAAUUAUAUGGUAUAAUAAUAAAUAUAAAAGGUAACAAAAACAGUAAUACACAUAAAAAUAAACAGUUGAUAUUCUGUUGUAAUUACUUACAUAUAUUUAAUAAUAUUACUUUUAUUAUGUUAGUGAAAAAAUAUUUUUUAAGAUAUGUAAUAGUACAUCCGAAGGAGUUUGUUCUUGAUCAUAAUAGUAAGAUUAAGAAUAAACGAAAAAAAAAUAACAUUUUUUUAAGUACAAAAUAUGAUAAAAUGAAAAAAAAAAUACAAACCUUAAGGGUUUAUUCUACGCUUUCUAAAGUAUACACUUACAAAAAAAGGAUAAAAUUAUUGUAUUUAGUUAAACGAAAUAUAAAACGGAAAAUAUUUCAAAAUAAUUGUUUGCGUAUAGCAAUAAAAGAGAAUGUUCAUAGUGAUCAGAACAGUGAUGGUGAUCAGAAAAUUGAUGGUGAUAAGGACAGUGAUCAGAAAAGUGAUAAGGACAGUGAUAAAGACAGUGAUAAGGACAGUGAUCAGAAAAGUGAUAAGGACAGUGAUCAGAAAAGUGAUAAGGACAGUGAUAAGGACAGUGAUAAGGACAGUGAUAAGGACAGUGAUAAGGGUCGUAAAAUAUUUGCAAGCAUUGAUAUUAAAACCGUAAUAAAAAGUUAUAACAAAAGAAGUAAACAGUUGAUAGAUGCAAAAAAAAAUUCAUCUUUUUAUUUUUUUUUCAAUCAAAAUAACAUAAUAUUGUUAAUUGAGUUUUAUGCAUGUCUACUAUAUAUGUCGAGAGAAGUAAGAGAACUUUUGAAAAAAUAUAAAAACGAAUUAGUAAAAAUAACAAACAAUAAUAAAAUAUUUGUUACUCCAUUGAAUAAUGUAAAACAUAGUGAUGUUUCUCAAAGUUAUGCCUCCUCCACCACACAUAUUAUUAGCAUAUUUUUAAACAGUUUUAAUUAUAUUCAGUAUGAUAUAAAAAAUAUAUUUUUUUUUUUAUAUACAUUAAAUAUGAAAACAUUUAUAGGAACUUACAUAAAUACAUUAAAAGGAGUAUUACAAAUAAAUACAAUUAAAAAAUUUGUUAAUAUGAAUGAAUAUACUUUUAGUCUUAUAAAUGAAUUGAAAGAAUCUGUUUUGUUUAGUAGCAAUAGUAACUAUUUUAAUAAUAAAAAAAGUAUGUACAUUUUUGAAAUUUAUAGCAGUUUAUCUGAUAAAAAUAAAUUUGUUUAUUUAAAUGCAUUGUUGUUUUUUUUGAAGAGGCAACAUAUGUCUAACUACUUAAGUGGAUUGGUUAAGUGGAUACAAAAAAAAAAGAAAUCGCAAAAAAUGCAGUCGCAAAAAAAGGAAUUGCAAAAAAAAGAAUUGCAAAAAAAGGAAUUGCAAAAAAAAGAAUUGCAAAAAAAGGAAUUGCAAAAAAAGGAAUCGCAAAAAAAAGAAUCGCAAAAAAAAGAAUCGCAAAGAAAGGAAGAAAAACCAAAGCAGAGUCAAACCAUAAUGGUGAAAAAAUUAGAACAUAUGUUUAAUAAGUCAUUAGAAAGAGUAUAUUGGGAUGCGUAUGCUAAGUUAUGCAAUAAACAAUUGAUUGUUGAAACUAGAAAAAAAAAACUUCAUAAAAAAGUGAAAAUUACAAAAAAUGGUAAAAAAAUGUAUAGUAAAAAAUUGUAUGGAAAAAAAUGUUUAAGGAAUUACUCCGAACAGUUUUUUACAAAAGAUUGCAAUAAUAACAUAUACUUGUUUGGUUUGUAUGACAAUAUUAUAAAAAAGUGUUAUAAGUUAGGUUUAACUUGUUCCGAAUAUGACAGUAGUGGAAAUAGUGACAACAUAAAGAGAAAAUGUUUUUAUACGGUAGAAACUACAUCUGCUAUAGUUGACAAAAUUAACAAACUAAAUAAAAUAUAUGAUAAAAAAUUUGAUAAAAAAUAUGAUAAAAUAUAUGAUAAAAAAUAUGUUAAACAUUUAAAAAAUAGAAAGAGAAUAAACAAUAAUAGAAAAGAUGAAAAAAAAAACAAAUUCUGUUUAUGUAUAAAAUAUGUUAUUAAUAAGGAAGCUAAAUUAAAAUUAAGUUUAAAAUUAAGUUUAAAAUUAAGUUUAAAAUAUAGUUUUAAAAAUAUUUUUUUUUAUUUACCUUUAUAUACUCUUGUUGAUGUUAGUAAGAUUUUAUCCAUAUCGAAGAUUUCUGCAUUGUAUGAGAUAUUAUGUGGUGAUACCUCCAUAGACAACAGCAUAAGUAAUAAUGGUCGCAAUGAUAAUGGAACAAAAAAUAAACAAUUUGAUAUUUUUUAUAAUAUUAAAUUAAAUUUUGUAAAUAUUAAUUUACAUUUAUUGUCUACAUCUACAUAUAGUAUGAAUAAACUGGAACAAAAUAAAAAAUAUGAAGAUAAAGUAGUGAGCAUAGUAGGAAGCAAAAACAUAAAAUUCGCAAAAAAAAAAAAAAAGCGUGGUAAAGAAAGUGGUAGUAAAGAAAGUGGUAGUAAAGAAAGUGGUAGUAAAGAAAGUAGUAGUACAGGAGGUGGUGUUACAGAAAGUGGUAGUAACAGUGUUGGUAACGAAAUUAGUGGCAGUGAUAACAUACACAGACGUCUUAUAAAUAUAAAAUAUAAAAAUAAUUUACCACAAUCAAACAAAAUGUUAAAAAAUUAUAAUUCCAUAAAAAGAUCACAAAACGCAAAGCUUGCAACUCCUAAUCAUAAAUUUGAUGGAAAAAAAAAAAAACGAUAAAGUUCAUUUUUCUUAUCAUCCAAUUAAUCAGGUUAAUCCGUUUAACUAUAAAGGAAACAUUUCAAGUGGAAAGAAAAAAAAAAAAAAUCCAACCAUGAUGGAUAAAACUGUUUUUUUUUAUGACAUUGUUUUGAGUACGAAUGUAAAAAUAGAUGUAGAGAACAAAACAGGUGAUAAACGUAAAAAAAUAAAAAAUAAGGGUAUAACA